rnacentral:rRNA from 1 species
UACGUAGGGGGCAAGCGUUGUCCGGAAUCAUUGGGCGUAAAGAGCGUGUAGGCGGUCCGGUAAGUCGGCUGUGAAAGUCCAGGGCUCAACCCUGGGAUGCCGGUCGAUACUGCCGGACUAGAGUUCGGAAGAGGCGAGUGGAAUUCCCGGUGUAGCGGUGAAAUGCGCAGAUAUUGGGAGGAACACCAGUGGCGAAGGCGGCUACCUGGACCGGUACUGACGCUGAUGCGCGAAAGCGUGGGUAGCAAACAGG